rnacentral:rRNA from 1 species
CACUCCUACGGGAGGCAGCAGUGAGGAAUAUUGCACAAUGGGCGCAAGCCUGAUGCAGCCAUGCCGCGUGUAUGAAGAAGGCCUUCGGGUUGUAAAGUACUUUCAGCGGGGAGGAAGGCGAUAAGGUUAAUAACCUUGUCGAUUGACGUUACCCGCAGAAGAAGCACUGGCUAACUCCGUGCCAGCAGCCGCGGUAAUACGGAGGGUGCAAGCGUUAAUCGGAAUUACUGGGCGUAAAGCGCACGCAGGCGGUCUGUCAAGUCGGAUGUGAAAUCCCCGGGCUCAACCUGGGAACUGCAUUCGAAACUGGCAGGCUAGAGUCUUGUAGAGGGGGGUAGAAUUCCAGGUGUAGCGGUGAAAUGCGUAGAGAUCUGGAGGAAUACCGGUGGCGAAGGCGGCCCCCUGGACAAAGACUGACGCUCAGGUGCGAAAGCGUGGGGAGCAAACAGGAUUAGAAACCCCGUAGUCCCAUGAU